GGGAAGGUAACUCAGUGGUAGAGUGCUUGCCUUGCAUGCAUGAGGCCCUGGGUUCAAUUCCUCAGCACCA
rfam:Dipodomys ordii contig_44329, whole genome shotgun sequence.